rnacentral:lncRNA from 1 species
CGGUUCAACCCACUGAGCUUGCUUGUAGGCCAGACCGUCACUAGACCCACGCAUGGACUUGUGGUGGAGGACGCCUGAGAAACACAUGGGGCACGCACGACGUUAACACUUGGAGUCGCGCACACACAAAGGAUCAGCUAAGAGCGUAGCCGGCCGGCCGGAGGAUCGUCGAAAGGACGACCCGUCGCUGUAGGAACGAUCCAUCUCUCCGGCCGGCGUGGCACAUGAGGUGAAACGUAUCACGCCGCACUCCGGGUCUAGCCAUGGCUAAAGGUUGUAGCGAUCGGGGGGGCUACGUGGGCUUGGAAUUCCGGGAGCUUUUCACUCGCCAUCGAUAUGUCAGCGAUCGUUAGUUGCUGUUGCUGGUGAGGUCUCAAGGUAAUUAAGUUCACAUGCAUGGUAUGUCUCUGUUGUUCCCUUGUAAGUUGUUCUCUUGUAAGUUGGUUUGCUAAGCAUCGAUCUCAUCCUACUCCCUAUAUAUGUGACUUGAUAUAAAGACAUUUUUUGACAUUGUUAUGUACUCUAAAAUCUCUUAUAAAAAGUGACAGGGGGAGUAUCAUCUAGGGAUUUGCUAGAUGUAGGUCGCCUGAAAAACAAAUUUGGAUCAGUCUUCACACUGUGAGCCGUCGACUGCAAGAUGGACGGCCAGAUCAGCUUCUUCAACCUCCCGAAAUGGUUACUGCUCAUCUUCUCCAACCUCGAACCCUCGAUUAUUUAUGUUUUCAGGCAACUUAUAUGUAAUUUAGCUAUUGUGAUCAUCUAGUAUUUAAUUCUGGCCGUUUGUUUCUGGUGUAUCAUAUGCACCAUGCACCAGGUGUCAGCAUACAGAAUCCCUUCCCUUUGGAGGAAACUUCAUUAUGAGGCGAUGGAAAGUCCAAAUGAUGGAUCGAUCAUUAGCGCACUAUAGCGACAAGACUACUGAGGCUAGUCGUGCCGGGUCAUAUCUUAUUAGAGUUGUGCAAUGCAUGUUUACCCAGGAGAGAUCACUUUUAAUAUAAUAAUUUUGUCGGGUGUUUAUAGUGGAGGUGGAACCCUUUUGUUGAUCAUCCGUAUAGAAUCUGGGGCGGUAUUUUAUGUGGAGGACGUGGAAAAUCUUAA